AUUGAACGCUGGCGGCAGGCCUAACACAUGCAAGUCGAGCGAGCGGCGGACGGGUGAGUAAUGUAUGGGGACUGCCCGAUAGAGGGGGAUAACUACUGGAAACGGUGGCUAAUACCGCAUACUAUCGGAUAACCCAUAGGGGAUUAGCUAGUAGGUGGGGGAAAGGCUCACCUAGGCGACGAUCUCUAGCUGGUCUGAGAGGAUGAGCAGCCACACUGGGACGUAGACACGGCCCAGACUCCCAGGGAGGAAACAGUGGGGAAUAUUGCACAAGGGGCGAAAGCCUGAUGCAUCCAUGCCGCGUGUAUGAAGAAGGCCUUGGGGUUGUAAAGUACUUUCAGCGGGGAGGCGUUACCCGCAGAAGAAGCACCGGCUAACUCAGUGCCAGCAGCCGCGGUAAUAC
rnacentral:rRNA from 1 species